rnacentral:rRNA from 1 species
GACGAACGCUGGCGGCGUGCUUAACACAUGCAAGUCGAACGGAAAGGCCCUGCUUUUGUGGGGUGCUCGAGUGGCGAACGGGUGAGUAACACGUGAGUAACCUGCCCUUGACUUUGGGAUAACUUCAGGAAACUGGGGCUAAUACCGGAUAGGAGCUCCUGCUGCAUGGUGGGGGUUGGAAAGUUUCGGCGGUUGGGGAUGGACUCGCGGCUUAUCAGCUUGUUGGUGGGGUAGUGGCUUACCAAGGCUUUGACGGGUAGCCGGCCUGAGAGGGUGACCGGCCACAUUGGGACGGAGAUACGGCCCAGACGCCUACGGGAGGCAGCAGUGGGGAAUAUGGCACAAUGGGCGGAAGCCUGAUGCAGCAACGCCGCGUGCGGGAUGACGGCCUUCGGGUUGUAAACCGAUUACGCCUGUGACGAAGCGUGAGUGACGGUAAUGGGUAAAGAAGCACCGGCUAACUACGUG